rnacentral:rRNA from 1 species
UUAAUACAUCGUAACUUAAUGAAGUGGCAUCACUUUAUUAAUAUAGCUCCGGCGGUUUUGGAUGGGCGUGCGCCUGAUUAGGUAGUUGGCGGGGUAACGGCCCACCAAGCCUACGAUCAGUAACUGGUGUGAGAGCACGACCAGUCACACGGGCACUGAGACACGGGCCCGACUCCUACGGGAGGCAGCAGUAAGGAAUAUUGGUCAAUGGACGCAAGUCUGAACCAGCCAUGCCGCGUGAAGGAUGAAGGUCCUCUGGAUUGUAAACUUCUUUUACAAGGGAAGAAACCGGAAUUUUCUUGUUCCGUUGACGGUACCUUGGGAAUAAGCACCGGCUAACUCCGUGCCAGCAGCCGCGGUAAUACGGAGGGUGCAAGCGUUAUCCGGAUUCACUGGGUUUAAAGGGUGCGUAGGUGGAUCUGUAAGUCAGUGGUGAAAUCUCCAAGCUUAACUUGGAAACUGCCGUUGAUACUAUAGAUCUUGAAUGCUGUGGAGGUGAGCGGAAUAUGUCAUGUAGCGGUGAAAUGCUUAGAUAUGACAUAGAACACCAAUUGCGAAGGCAGCUCACUACCCAGAUAUUGACACUGAGGCACGAAAGCGUGGGGAUCAAACA